GGAUGUGGGGGUGAUCUGGCUGUGCUAUCCAGCACCCCACUAAACACAAGGAUGAUCUGGCUCACCUGGCCAGUGAGGUGGGUGCCCCCUUCCUCCCUCACCACUCCCAGAGUGCUCAGUGAGGACAGCCUUCCUCCACAGAGACCAAGAGUAUGCAAGUGGCUACAGACUCUGCUAAGAGCUCCAAAUAAGCUCCCAGAGCCCACAUACAAGAAUCAGUAGCAUUUCUAUCCACUAACAGUGAAUUACU
rnacentral:snRNA from 1 species